GAUGAACGCUGGCGGCGUGCCUAAUACAUGCAAGUCGAGCGAACGGACGAGAAGCUUGCUUUUCUGAUGUUAGCGGCGGACGGGUGAGUAACACGUGGAUAACCUACCUAUAAGACUGGGAUAACUUCGGGAAACCGGAGCUAAUACCGGAUAAUAUUUUGAACCGCAUGGUUCAAAAGUGAAAGACGGUCUUGCUGUCACUUAUAGAUGGAUCCGCGCUGCAUUAGCUAGUUGGUAAGGUAACGGCUUACCAAGGCAACGAUGCAUAGCCGACCUGAGAGGGUGAUAGCCGACCCUGGAACUGAGACACGGUCAAGGCUCCUAAGGGAGGCAGCAGUAGGGAAUGUUCCGCAAUGGGCGAAAGCCUGACGGAGCAACGCGGCGUGAGUGAUGAAGGUCUUCGGAUCGUAAAACUGUGUUAUUAGGGAAGAACAUAUGUGUAAGUAACUGUGCACAUCUUGACGGUAACUAAUCAGAAAGCCACGGCUAACUACGUG
rnacentral:rRNA from 1 species